GGUUGGAUUUGAUCUAAUCUAGCGGCUGAGGUUUGUCCUCAGAUAAGGUGUGAGUUCUCACAUAAAGGGUAGUUCUCAUAUAAAGGGUAGUUCUCACAUAAAGAUCUUAGGGAGUGGAUCAUGUAAAAACAAACUUAAAGCUAAAAACUAAAAACAUAGGAUCUUGACCUUAGAUUAUAAUCUACCGCUAACAUAUCAAAUUUGACGGUUGGUUUUUUCUUUCUAUCUCCAUCUUCAUUAUUAUGCAUUAUUUUCUCUUUCCUCCAUCUCACGUUCUCCAUCUUCUUCAUUCUCUCUCCUUCCCAAUUCAAUAUCAACGCUGAACAUCAUCAAAUUAUAGAGGAAUUUGGUUCAAUCUUCAUCAAUUUCGUCAUUAGCUUACAAAAAGCGAGGUGAAAUGUGGGAAUUGUGGAGAGGUGACUGAGAAGGAGAGUUAUGUGAUGUUGGGAGAAGUUGUUCCUAUCCCUAAGAGUCGUGGCCAGGCUAAUCUUGUUUAGAAGUGCAAGUUCUGUGCCAGGGAGGGUACUAUUACAAUGUUACCAAAAUCUGGCUGCUAUCUAACAGGUGAUGACUGUGAAGCAGGAAAGUUUGUCCGUUUGAUGAUCUUUGACUGCCGGGGUUUGGAGCCAGUGGACUACUUCUUUGGUGGUGACAAGGAGGAGCAGCAGAAAUUAUCUUAUAAUAAGGAGCAGCAGGAGAAGUUAUCUGAUGACAAGGAGGAGCAGGAGAAGUUAUAUAAUGAUAGUUACCUUAUUUUUGUAAAUAGUGACUUCUAUAUAAAUGUGGUCAAUGUUGUCAAAAUUGAUAUAAUCACCUUAUUUUUAUAUAUAGUGACUCUUGUUAUUUUUAUAUAUAGUGGCCUCUGUA